UACGUAGGGAGCAAGCGUUAUCCGGAUUUAUUGGGUGUAAAGGGUGCGUAGACGGAGAAGCAAGUUAGUUGUGAAAUCCCUCGGCUUAACUGAGGAACUGCAACUAAAACUACUUCCCUUGAGUACUGGAGAGGAAAGUGGAAUUCCUAGUGUAGCGGUGGAAUGCGUAGAUAUUAGGAGGAACACCAGUGGCGAAGGCGGAUUGCUGGACAGUAACUGACGCUGAGGCGCGAAAGCGUGGGGAGCAAACAGG
rnacentral:rRNA from 1 species